CACAUUUUUAUCAGAAUUUCCCAAUUUUCCAAAGCAAACGAAAUGGUGAAGCCAUCCUGCAGUAAAGGCUGCUGCCCUCACUCCUGCCUUCCGACCGACCCUGGGGCUUCCUCGCAUGGCCCUGCAUGACAUGGCAUAUCCCGCCUCUUGGGAACUAUGAAAACCACACAAAAACCUGCACGUGGAUGUUUAUAGCAGCUUUAUUCUUCAUUCCCAAAACUUAGAGGCAACCAAGAUGUCCUUCAGAAUGGGUUAAUAAAUGGUAGUACCUCCAGACAAUGGAAUAUUCUUCCGUCAUGAAAAGGAAUGAGCAAUCAAGCCAUGAAAAGACAUGGCAGAACCAUAUCACUAAGCAAAAGAAGCCAAUCUGAAAAGAGUACAUGCGGUAUGAUUUCAACUAUAUGAUAUUCUGGAAAAGACAAAGGUACGGAGACCAGGAAAAUAUUAGUGGUUGGUAGGGGCUGAGGGGGCAGGUGGAGCACAGAGGAUUUUUAGGGCAAUGACAUUAUUUUAUAUGAUACUAUAAUGAUGGACACAUGUCAUUAUGCAUUUUGCUAAAAAUAUUCUGCACCAAGAGUGAAUCUUAAUGUAAACUGUGGGCUUUGGGUAAUGAUGAGGAGUUAUUGUAAGUUCAUCACUUGCAACCAAUGUAUCACUCAGGUCGGGGAUGUUGAAAAUAGGGGAGACUGUGCAUGUAUGGGAACAAGGCAUAUAUGGGAAAUCUGGGUAGCCUGCCCUCAAUUUUGCUGUGAAUCCAAAACUGCUCUAAAAAAUAAA